rnacentral:tRNA from 1 species
GGGAAUGUCAGGGUCCUGGUGGAUCCCGCGGGCUUCAAACCCGUUGUGGGGCCUUCAUGGUCCCGGGUGGGUUCGAUUCCCAUACAUUCCCGCCA